rnacentral:rRNA from 1 species
CCUGGCUCAGGAUGAACGCUAGCGGCAGGCCUAAUACAUGCAAGUCGAACGGUCUCUAGCAAUAGAGAUAGUGGCGCACGGGUGCGUAACGCGUAACCAACCUACCUGAAUCUGGGGGAUAGCCCGCCGAAAGGCGGAUUAAUACCGCAUAAAACCRCARWYUGGCAUCARKUAAYRGUUAAAGAUUUAUUGGAUUCAGAUGGGGUUGCGUGCCAUUAGCUAGUUGGGGAGGUAACGGCUCACCAAGGCGACGAUGGCUAGGGGAGCUGAGAGGCUGGUCCCCCACACGGGCACUGAGAUACGGGCCCGACUCCUACGGGAGGCAGCAGUAGGGAAUAUUGGGCAAUGGGCGAGAGCCUGACCCAGCCAUGCCGCGUGCAGGAUGAAGGCUUUCUGAGUCGUAAACUGCUUUUAUCAGGGAAGAAAAAAGGGCAUGCGUGCUCUACUGAC